rnacentral:rRNA from 1 species
AUGCAACUAAUUUGCAACGACACCCUCUUGGUGAUAUCUCUAACGUUGACAUGCAUUCCCAAAGGGUCACAGGUACAGAGCUCUUUAUCAUAUGUGCCUUGCGAUUCACCACCUUAUCAUGUAUAUAUAGGCUUGCCUUGUUUUGGUUAUGUUCUUAAUUUGAUUGAACAUGUAUUUGCUUUCAAACAGUGGUCGCAACAAGCAGCAAAUCAGAAGGACCUCGCAAUGAGAAUUCAAAAAACAUCACACCCGCACCGGGGAAUGCAACAAAUUUGCAACAACACACUCUUGGUGAUGUCUCUAAUGUUGACAUGCAUUCCCAAAUGGGUCCAUGUAUGUUACCUCGUAUCAUAUGUGCCUUGCGAAUCACCACCUUAUCGUAUGUGUUCCGUUUUUUAUUUGAUCAAACAUGUGUAUUUGCUUUUCGUAUCUGCACAGGCUUGCUCACCGAGCCCAAUGGACCCCGCAUGGAAACGAUGUUGCGUGGACAGACAAACACCCACCCACCCCCUCCUGGUCAUGUCCUCGAUGUUGAUCCGCUGA